GACACACAAAAAAAGCAGCAGUGGGGAAUAUUCCGCAAUGGGCGAAAGCCUGACGGAGCAACGCCGUGUGAGGGAAGAAGGUUCUCGGAUUGUAAACCUCUGUUUUAUGGGAAGAAAAAAAUGACGGUACCAUAAGAGAAAGCCCCGGCUAACUACGUGCCAGCAGCCGCGGUAAUACGUAGGGGGCAAGCGUUGUCCGGAAUCACUGGGCGUAAAGGGCGUGUAGGCGGCAUAAUAAGUUAGAGGUGAAACUCCAAGGCUCAACCUUGGGACUGCCUCUAAAACUGUUAAGCUUGAGUGCAGGAGAGGGAAGUGGAAUUCCUAGUGUAGCGGUGAAAUGCGUAGAUAUUAGGAGGAACACUCGUGGCGAAGGCGACUUCCUGGCCUGUAACUGACGCUGAGGCGCGAAAGCGUGGGGAGCAAACAGGAUUAGAUACCCUGGUAGUCCACGCCGUAAACGAUGAGUACUAGGUGUUGGUGGUAUCGAUCCCAUCAGUGCCG
rnacentral:rRNA from 1 species